rnacentral:rRNA from 1 species
GUGGGUCGCCCUUCUUAUGCUGAGAGGGGUCGGUCGCGCCAUGACACCUUUUGUGGCUACUGCUCUCGGCCAGGUCACCCAGAGUCUGAUUGCCGUGAGAAGAAGCGAGACUAGAGGCGCUCCUCUUCUAGUGGGACUCCUGGCUCUUCCUCGACUCCGUCACUCACUGACCAGGACAUUGUGAGGCUCAAGCGUCUCUUGGCUUCCUCAGGCUCUUCGUGUUGGGGAACGUAG